UACAGAGGGUGCAAGCGUUAAUCGGAAUUACUGGGCGUAAAGGGUGCGUAGGUGGUUUGAUAAGUUGGGUGUGAAAUUCCUGGGCUUAACCUAGGAACUGCGCUCAAUACUGUUGAGCUAGAGUACUGUAGAGGAAGGUGGAAUUCCCGGUGUAGCGGUGAAAUGCGCAGAUAUCGGGAAGAACACCCGUGGCGAAGGCAAUCCCCUGGGCCUGCACUGACGCUCAUGCACGAAAGCGUGGGGAGCAAACAGG
rnacentral:rRNA from 1 species